rnacentral:lncRNA from 1 species
CGGAAAUGCCUGUCGCGGAGCCUCGGUCCAUCCGCCCCUCCCAACCGGUCCGGCACAUCCAGGCGCACACACAUCUGUCCACAAACACACCCUCCCUCACACACACACAACUCACACACACACCAAUUCACACAUACACAACUCACACACCAACGCACACGCACACAACUCACACGCACACCAACUCACAUACACAUCAACACACACAUACACAACUCACACACCAACUCACACAUACAUAAUUCACACCAACUCACAUGCCAACUCACACAACUCAACUCACAUGUACACCAAUACACACACAUACACAAGUCACUUACACACCAACUCACUAACACACCAACUCAUACACAUCAACUCACACAUACACAACUCACACACCAACUCACACAUACACAACUCACACACCAACUAAUACACACCAACUCACACAUAUACAACUCACAUCAACUCGCAUACACACCAACUCACACAUCGACUCACAUACACACCAACUCACACGCAUACCAACUCACACAUACACAAGUCACUCACACCAACACACACCAACUCACACAUACACAACUCACACUAACACACACCAACUCAUACACAACACAACACACACACCAACUCACACAUACAACUCACACUAACACACACCAACUCGCAUGCACACCAACACACACAACUCAACUACACACCAACUCACACACCCUUACACAUACACAACUCACACACCAACUCACACCCUCACCCCAACACAACCUCACACAUAUACAACACACACACCAACUCACACCCACACACUUUCACACACACCCUCACACACCCUCACACACACCAACUCCCAUGCACACAUCCUCCCUCAUACACAACUCACAGACCCAUGCACACACCCUCGCCCCCACCCAACACAACCUCACACAUACACAACUCACACACCAACUCACAUGCACACACCCACACACCAACUCACACGCACACACCCUCACUCCCAAUGCAACCUCACAACUCACACCAACUCACACACCCUCACACCAACUCACACGCCCACACCCUCACCC